AUUUACCUACGGGGGGCAGCAGUCGGGAAUAUUGCGCAAUGGAGGAAACUCUGACGCAGUGACGCCGCGUAUAGGAAGAAGGUUUUCGGAUUGUAAACUAUUGUCGUGAGGGAAGAAGAUGACAGUACCUCAGGAGGAAGCUCCGGCUAACUAUGUGCCAGCAGCCGCGGUAAUACAUAGGGAGCAAGCGUUAUCCGGAAUUAUUGGGUGUAAAGGGUGCGCAGACGGGAAAUUAAGUUAGUUGUGAAGUCCCUUGGCUUAACUGAGGAACUUCAACUAAAACUGAUUUUCUUG
rnacentral:rRNA from 1 species